rnacentral:rRNA from 1 species
UACGAAGGGAGCUAGCGUUGUUCGGAAUCACUGGGCGUAAAGCGCACGUAGGCGGAUGUGUCAGUCAGGGGUGAAAUCCCGGAGCUCAACCUCGGAACUGCCUUUGAUACAGCAAGUCUUGAGUUCGAGAGAGGUGGGUGGAAUUCCUAGUGUAGAGGUGAAAUUCGUAGAUAUUAGGAAGAACACCGGUGGCGAAGGCGGCCCACUGGCUCGAUACUGACGCUGAGGUGCGAAAGCGUGGGGAGCAAACAGG